rnacentral:rRNA from 1 species
CCUACGGGAGGCAGCAGUAGGGAAUAUUGCUCAAUGGGGGAAACCCUGAAGCAGCAACGCCGCGUGGAGGAUGAAGGUUUUCGGAUUGUAAACUCCUUUUGUUAGAGAAGAUAAUGACGGUAUCUAACGAAUAAGCACCGGCUAACUCCGUGCCAGCAGCCGCGGUAAUACGGAGGGUGCAAGCGUUACUCGGAAUCACUGGGCGGAAAGAGCGCGUAGGCGGGAGAGCAAGUCAGAUGUGAAAUCCUAUGGCUUAACCAUAGAACUGCAGUUGAAACUGUUAUUCUAGAGUAUGGGAGAGGUAGGUGGAAUUCUUGGUGGAGGGGUAAAAUCCGUAGAGAUCAAGAGGAAUACUCAUUGCGAAGGCGACCUGCUAGAACAUAACUGACGCUGAUGCGCGAAAGCGUGGGGAGCAAACAGGAUUAGAUACCCGGGUAGUC